GACGAACGCUGGCGGCGUGCUUAACACAUGCAAGUCGAACGGUGAUCUUGGGAGCUUGCUCCUGGGUGAGCAGUGGCGAACGGGUGAGUAACACGUGAGUAACCUGCCCCUGACUCUGGAAUAAGCGCUGGGAACGGCGUCUAAUACCGGAUACGAGACGCAACCGCAUGGUUAGUGUCUGGAAAGUUUUUCGGUCUGGGAUGGACUCGCGGCCUAUCAGCUUGUUGGUGAGGUAACGGCUCACCAAGGCAAUGACGGGUAGCCGGCCUGAGAGGGCGAUCGGCCACACUGGGACUGAGACACGGCCCAG
rnacentral:rRNA from 1 species